rnacentral:lncRNA from 10 species
CAAAAAUCACUGAGCAGAAGGCCCAGGCAGGAGAGUCAGUCAAAUUACCUAAAUGAGGGGCUCAGAAAUAUGUUGCAAUGACCUCUGUGGGUAGGACUCAGGAAAAACAGGAGAGUAACCUAGGGGCUGAGUAAAGCUAUAUGACACAGUCGCCCAAAUUGAUCGGCCCAGGCAAAUGAAGAGUCUUAUCACAUAAGUGCUAGGCCAAGUGAUGUGUCACAAUCCUCAUUAUGGACAGUUCCCAAGAAGAAGAGUCACAUCAUCCAGGUGAUGGGUCUAGAGAUGUCACAGUAAGCGGUGUGGGCUGGGAUCAUGCAGAAGAAUCGCAUCACUUGUGUGUUGAGCCUAGCGGCAGUAGAGGAGAGUCACAUCACCUGGGUUCCCAGUCCAGCAAUAUGUCACAAUGCCCCUUGUGAAAAUAACUGAAGGAUAAGAGGAGAGUAACAUAACCUAGGGGCUAGGCCAAGCUAUGUGUCACAAUCACACCUGUAAGCAGGGCCCAGGCAUGAGAGGAGAGUCACAUCAAGUAAGUACUGGGCCAUGCGAUAUAUCACAAUCCCCAUAUGGCAGGUCCCAGGAAGAUAUCACCUAGGUGCUGGGCCCAGAAACUUGUGACAAUGUCUCUUAUAGGCAAACACAGGGUAGGAGAGGGGAGGGGAUAACAUCAAACAUCUGAUGAGCCAAGUGAUAUGUUACAAUGCCCCCUGUGGGCAGGGUCCAGGCUGAAGACACACAUCACCUCGGCAUUGGGCCCAUGAAUGUUACAGUGCUUUCUGAGGGCAGGCCCAAGGCAAAAGAGUAAUAUCAUUAUGCUGCUGGGCCCAGCAGUUUGUUACAAUCUCUGCAGCAGGUGGAGCCUAAAAGAGUCAUACCAGCUAGGUAUGGGGCCUAGCAAUAUGUCACAAGAUGUUUUGUGAGAAGAAACCAGGCAGUAAAAGGGAGUCACAUCACCUGGGUGAUGAGCACAGAGAUAUGUCACAAUGGCUCCUGCAGGCAGAACCCAAACAAGAGAGUUACACUACCUGAGUUUUAGACCCAGCAGUAUGUCACACUGUCACAAUGACCCAUGUGAGCAAAGCAGAGGCAGGAGAGUAACAUAAACUAGGGGGGAGGGCAGCAAUAUUUCACAAUGUUCACUGUGGAUGGCACCAAAGCAGGAGAGAAAACUCCCAUCCCCUGGGUGCAAGGCACAGUGAUAUGUCCAAAUGCCCCAUGUGGAAAGCACAGAGGCAAGACAAUGGGGUCACAUCACCUAGUUUCUGGUCCAGCGAUAUGUCACGAUUCAUCUGUGGGUUAAAUCCAGACAGGAGAGUAAAAUCACUCAGGUUCUACACAGAAGCAUCUGUCACAGUCACACGUGCAGGAAGGUCCAAGAUGAGAUUAACAAUCCUGUGCAUAUCCUGCUUCUGUGUGCAGCAGCAAGGCAUGAGAGGAGACUCACAUUACCUGGGUGUAAGGCUCUGAGAUAUACUACAAUGUCUUUUUCAAGUAGCACCAAGGCAGAACAGAGUUACAUCACUUAGGCGCUGGGUCCAGCAGUGUGGCACAAUCCUAUUUGUAGGCUGGGCCAAUUCUGAAGAAUUACAUUACUAAGGUGCUGGGCAGAAGUGUGUGCCAAAAUCACACCUGCAGGAAAGACCAGGGAUGACAUUAACAAUCCUGUAUAUACCCCAGUUCUUGGUAUGAAAGUCAACACCUCCUGUAUGUUGGAUCUAAGCACACAAGUCACAAUUUUUAGAAUGAAUUGAAUCACUGAAUGACAGACUCAAUCCCUCUUACUGGCUGUGUCACCUUAGUGGAAUCACAGACUAAUAGGUGUGUUCAAUCUUGGUCUGAAAGUCACCAACUUACCUUUGGACUGAAUUCACUUAUGAGAGUAAAUUUUCCAACUUGUGACUGUCUCUGCAUAUGAGAUUCAGAACCUCCAGUGGACUGUGUUCAUGUGAAAAGAUGAAAAUCUUUACUGUUGGCUGGGUGUGCAUGAGUGUGAAAACCUAAACUCUACACUGAGCCUAGUUAGAACACUCUCUGUACCACCUGAGGAAUUUAUAAGGUACACGUGAGAGUCGCAAUCUUUUGUGGCUGGGAGACUUUUCUGCUGCUAUGGACCCGUGAUCGUACCUGUGGCUCUAUGCCCAGAUAUGAGAGUUAACACCUCUGUAAUGGCUGGGUCCAGAUAUGAGAGUUGCCAUCUACCUAUAAGCUAGGCUUAUUAAUAAGUCACCACCUCAGCUGUUGCCUGAUGUUCACUUACAACAGUCACAAUUUCAACUCUGCACUGCAUCCACCUGUAAGAUUUAAGACCACACCAGUAGGCUCUGUCCAUGGAUGAAGGUGAUAAUCUUAACAACUGGCAAAGUGUGCAUACACAAAAACAAUCUCAUGUUUUCUGCAACCUGUUAGGACACUCUCUGUACCACCCGGGGCUUCAUACAAUAUGUGAGAGUGUAAUUCUCUCUGACCUUCCUACAAAGGGGAGAGCCAGAAUCUUACUCAUUUUCCCAAGCCCACAUAUGAAAGAUAGUUUGUCUCUUAUUGGCUGAUUUUUGAUAUGAGAGUAAACAUCACACCUAUGAUCUGAACAAAGGUAUAUGUCACAAUCUCCCCUGUGGAUAGGGAGUGAGCAGGAGAGUUACAUCAUCUGGGUAACAGGCCAGGGAUAUGUCACAAUCUUCUCUGAGAGCAGACACCAGGCAGAAGAGUUAAAACCUGGGUGCUCAGUCAGGGAU